rnacentral:lncRNA from 1 species
AGAAAAAAAAGAAAAGAAAAAAAGAAAAGCCACGCUUGACUGAUAAUGCAUUGCUUUGGAUGGUGAAACAUUAUGAAAGUUUAAUUUUUAAUUAAAUCUGAAAUACCAAUUAUAACUGAAAGAGAUUUUAACCUGUUUCUUUUCAGACUGCCUGAAGUUACAUUUAGAGACUGAAAUCACUGCACCUUAAAAACAAAAGAUUGGGCUGCACUGUAUUCCUUAGGUCUAACUUUUGCAUCGGAUUCUUUAGGGAAAACACCUACCAAGGCUUCCUAUUACCUAUUUCACAGUGAACUGGUGAGGGACCUGCUAUGGCCAUCCCUUCAGAGUGCUGAUGCAGAAUGUUUCAUCAUUACUAACAGGAUACUCCUCAUGCUAUUGCUGUCUGCAUUUAGAAGAAUAAGAAACAUGACCUCCCGAACCUAUUAUCACAGAUUUUGGCAAAUAUUUUAGAAUGACUCUGCUAAACAAGAUGGAAGUACUCAAAGGACUUGUUUGGAAGACCCUCCAGAGAGAUACAUUUCCAAAGGAGACUCCUGAGUGGACAGAAGGGGUGAUAGGGUGAAGUUGAGCACUGAUGUUUCCUGUGUGGAACACUGUAUGUGUUGGUGAUUCUUUGAACUACCCAUUAGUAUUCUGUGGUAUUCUGUACAUUUGAAAUGCAUUGGCUUCAUUUG